AUUGAACGCUGGCGGAAUGCUUUACACAUGCAAGUCGAACGGCAGCACGGGGCAACCUGGUGGCGAGUGGCGAACGGGUGAGUAAUAUAUCGGAACGUGCCCAAUCGUGGGGGAUAACGUAGCGAAAGUUACGCUAAUACCGCAUACGAUCUACGGAUGAAAGCGGGGGAUCGCAAGACCUCGCGCGAAUGGAGCGGCCGAUAUCAGAUUAGGUAGUUGGUGGGGUAAAGGCUCACCAAGCCAACGAUCUGUAGCUGGUCUGAGAGGACGACCAGCCACACUGGAACUGAGACACGGUCUAGACUCCUACGGGAGGCAGCAGUGGGGAAUUUUGGACAAUGGGCGAAAGCCUGAUCCAGCCAUGCCGCGUGAGUGAAGAAGGCCU
rnacentral:rRNA from 1 species